AUGUCGACUCCUUCAAGGAAGAGGCUGAUGAGGGACUUCAAGCGGCUGAUGCAGGACCCUCCUGCGGGCAUAAGCGGGGCGCCGCAGGACAACAACAUAAUGCUGUGGAAUGCUGUGAUUUUUGGCCCUGACGAUAGCCCGUGGGACGGAGGUACGUUUAAGCUGACUCUCCAGUUCAAUGAAGAAUAUCCUAAUAAGCCACCAACAGUUCGGUUUAUUUCUCGGAUGUUUCACCCUAACAUUUAUGCUGAUGGAAGCAUAUGCUUAGAUAUUCUACAGAAUCAGUGGAGCCCAAUAUAUGAUGUAGCUGCUAUACUUACAUCUAUCCAGUCGCUGCUGUGUGAUCCUAACCCGAAUUCGCCUGCUAACUCAGAAGCUGCCCGCAUGUUCAGUGAGAACAAGCGAGAGUACAACCGCAAAGUGCGGGAGAUUGUUGAGCAGAGCUGGACGGCAGACUAA
rnacentral:rRNA from 1 species